rnacentral:rRNA from 1 species
UAAUACGGAGGGUGCGAGCGUUGUCCGGAAUCACUGGGCGUAAAGGGCGCGUAGGCGGCCGAGCAAGGUCGUGGUGAAAGCCCGGGGCUCAACCCCGGGUCGGCCAUGGCAACUACUCGGCUGGAGCACAGUAGAGGCAGGCGGAAUUCCGGGUGUAGCGGUGGAAUGCGUAGAGAUCCGGAAGAACACCGGUGGCGAAGGCGGCCUGCUGGGCUGUGGCUGACGCUGAGGCGCGACAGCGUGGGGAGCAAACAGGAUUAGAUACCCUGGUAGUCCACGCCGUAAACGAUGGGCACUAGGUGCUUGGGGGAGCGACCCCCCGAGUGCCGGCGCUAACGCAUUAAGUGCCCCGCCUGGGGAGUACGGCCGCAAGGCUG